GAUGAACGCUGGCGGCGUGCCUAAUACAUGCAAGUCGAGCGAACGGACGAGAAGCUUGCUUUUCUUAUGUUAGCGGCGGACGGGUGAGUAACACGUGGAUAACCUACCUAUAAGACUGGGAUAACUUCGGGAAACCGGAGCUAAUACCGGAUAAUAUUUUGAACCGCAUGGUUCAAAAGUGAAAGACGUUCUUGCUGUCACUUAUAGAUGGAUCCGCGCUGCAUUAGCUAGUUGGUAAGGUAACGGCUUACCAAGGCAACGAUGCAUAGCCGACCUGAGAGGGUGAUCGGCCACACUGGAACUGAGACACGGUCCAGACUCCUACGGGAGGCGGCAGUAGGGAAUCUUCCGCAAUGGGCGAAAGCCUGACGGAGCAACGCCGCGUGAGUGAUGAAGGUCUUCGGAUCGUAAAACUCUGUUAUUAGGGAAGAACAUAUGUGUAAGUAACUGUGCACAUCUUGACGGUACCUAAUCAGAAAGCCACGGCUAACUACGUG
rnacentral:rRNA from 1 species